rnacentral:rRNA from 1 species
GCUAACAAUCUAACCCCACUUUAUUUUAUACCUAUUGACACUUUUAAUGUAGAAUUAAAACAUUUUAAUAAUUUAGUAGAGGCGAUCAAAAAAUUAACUGGAGUUAUACACAAUGUACCGCAAGGGAAAGAUGAAAUAAAAAUGAAAUAAUCUUCAAGCACAAAAAAGUAAAGAUUAAUUCUUGUACCUUUUGCAUCAUGAUUUAACUAGUUUACCUUAGCAAAGCGAUUUUAAGUCAAGUCCCCCGAAACUAAGUGAGCUACUUCAAGGCAGCUUAACGAGCAUAUCCGUCUCUGUUGCAAAAGAGUGGAGAGACCUUCAAGUAGAGGUGAUAGACCUAACGAACUUAGUGAUAGCUGGUUACUCAAGAAAAGGAUUUUAGUCCCACCUAAAGCUACUAUAUAUUCCUAAAUAAAAAUACUCGCUUUAGAGUAAUUCAAUUAAGGUACAGCCUACUUGAAACAGGAUACAACCUUCACUAAUGGGUAAACUUACACUUAUAUUAUUUCUAAGUAGGCCUAAAAGCAGCCACCUUUUAAAUAGCGUCAAAGCUUUUAUAUAAACUGUAAAAAUACCAACUUUAUCACAUAACCCUUUACCAAUAUUGAGUAAUUCUAUAUUAUUAUAGAAAUUUUUAUGUUAAAACUAGUAACAAGAACAAGAUUUUCUCUAUAUGUAGGUGUAUAUCAGAAAGGACAAGCCACUGAUAAUUAACAUUUUUGAGAUUAAAGAAGCAACUAAACAAGAAAACCCUUCUCUCCCCCAUGUUAAUCUAACACAAGCACAUACCAAGAAAGAUUUAAAGAAAAAGAAGGAACUCGGCAAAUAUUAACCUCGCCUGUUUACCAAAAACAUCGCCUCUUGUAAAUUUUAAGAGGUCCAGCCUGCCCAGUGACUUUGUUCAACGGCCGCGGUAUCCUAACCGUGCGAAGGUAGCGUAAUCACUUGUUCUUUAAAUAAGGACUAGUAUGAAUGGCACCACGAGGGUUAUACUGUCUCCUUUUUCUAAUCAGUGAAACUAAUCUUCCCGUGAAGAAGCGGGAAUAAUUAUAUAAGACGAGAAGACCCUAUGGAGCUUUAAACAAAUAACACUUGCUAAUUUCCUAUAAUUUCCAGAUACUUAAUCUUUAUCCUAGCAUUAUGAUUAUUAGUUUUAGGUUGGGGUGACCACGGAGUAAAAAUUAACCUCCAUAUUGUAAAAAUUAUUUUUAAGCAAAAAGUUACGACUUAAAGCAUCAAUAAAUUGACAUUUAUUGACCCAAUAUUUUGAUCAACGAACCAAGUUACCCUAGGGAUAACAGCGCAAUCCACUUUAAGAGCUCUUAUCGACAAGUGGGCUUACGACCUCGAUGUUGGAUCAGGGUACCCCAGUGGUGUAGCCGCUACUAAAGGUUCGUUUGUUCAACGAUUAAAACCCU